ensembl:miRNA
GGUCGCUUAAAUCCCAAUGCUAGACCCAGUGGCAAUCAAGGUCUAGCCACCGGGUCUAGCAUUGGGAUUUAAGCCC